AUUGAACGCUGGCGGCAUGCCUUACACAUGCAAGUCGAACGGUAACAGGUCUUCGGAUGCUGACGAGUGGCGAACGGGUGAGUAAUACAUCGGAACGUGCCUAGUAGUGGGGGAUAACUACUCGAAAGAGUGGCUAAUACCGCAUGAGAUCUACGGAUGAAAGCAGGGGAUCGCAAGACCUUGUGCUACUAGAGCGGCCGAUGGCAGAUUAGGUAGUUGGUGGGAUAAAAGCUUACCAAGCCGACGAUCUGUAGCUGGUCUGGGAGGACGAUCAGCCACACUGGGACUGAGACACGGCCCAGAGUCCUACGGGAGGCAGCAGUGGGGAAUUUUGGACAAUGGGCGCAAGCCUGAUCCAGCAAUGCCGCGUGCAGGAUGAAGGCCUUCGGGUUGUAAACUGCUUUUGUACGGAGCGAAAAGGCUCUCUCUAAUACAGGGGGCUCAUGACAGUACCGUAAGAAUAAGCACCGGCUAACUACGUGCCAGCCGCCGCGGUAA
rnacentral:rRNA from 1 species